UUUAUGUUUCAAGGUAAACCACUCUCAGAGGGCAAACGAAACACCGCUGAAGACGUGGAUAAUUGCGAAGGAGGAUGGGGAUGUCAUUGCAGCUCAUUGCAAUUGCAUGGCAGGGUUAGUCAUUUAUGUAGGCUAGCAUGUUUACCAUGAGAUCACAGACACACACACACGUACUGCUAGCAUACUGCCAGUGUACUUCAGAACCAGCGGGGAGAGAGCUUUCAGGGAUAAACAUGUUAAUUAGUGUAAAGUGAUACUCCAUAUUAGUAUAGGUAGGCUAUAUUGCAGAUCAUCAAAAUGUGCUGAUAUAGAUUGAACGUUUUCCCUGAUGUAGAUUGCAUUUGAGGUUUAAAAAAAUGUCAUUGUAUUCUAUUCACAGACUUUCAGAAUCAUGUUCUCAUGUUGGAGCAGUUCUGUUUGCUAUUGAAGCUGGGGUUAAGAUGAGAGAUAUAGCUUCCUGCACAACUGAGCAGUGCAAGUGGCUGAUGCCAUCACAUGUGAAAAAGAUUCCUGCUGCUCCAGUAGCUCAGAUUGACUUCUCCUCUGCAAAAUCAAAAAAAAAAAAGCUUGACCGUUCCAUCGAUGGCAGGACAACUGUAAACAAGUUAUGGAUGCAAACAUGAAGCACAAGCCAGAGGAGCGUAUGAGAAGCUGAUUGGUCGGGAGCAUGCAGGCUUUUCAUGUAUGGACAGUGGUCUCUGGCUAAACCCCAAGUGGCCCUACAUGGGGUCCUCCCCUGAUGGGAUUGUUACUUGUGUCUGUCACGGAACUGGCAUCUGCGAAAUUAAGUGCCCACACUCUCGCCAAGAUGAGACCAAUCUGCGUUUGUGUGCUGACGAAAAGGGCUUCUGCCUCAUCAAUGAAGGGGAUAAUGUCAUGCUGGACCGGAGUCAUGAGUACUACUACCAAGUUCAGGCACAGCUUCACAUUGUAGAUGCUGAGUACUGUGACUUUGUUGUGUGGAACCGCAAUGACAUUUUUGUUGAAAGGAUUUUGCCUGAUCUUGAAUUUUGGGAUGAUGUGAUUCCUAAAGUUGAGUGCUUUUUUAGAAACGGUAUACUUCCAGAAAUACUGGGACAGCAAGUUACAAACUUGCAUGUGUAAUGUGAUAAAAGUAUAUGAACUUAGGUCCAGGCACUAAGUGGGCUCUGUGAUAUAUUGCUGUUCAAUCAAUACUGUUGUAUGAGACAAGAUGACAUUUUGAAUAUUGUUAUGACCUGAGUGUGGUCUUUGUAUAUAUAUAUUGAGUAGUAUAUUAAGUUGUAUAUUGAGUAGCACUACACAAUUUGUAAGAUGCUUACUAAAAAGAUGAAAUGCCAUUGAGAAGACAGAAUAAUACAUGGUGGUUUAUUUACAAGAUUAGAUGUUUUAACAAUUGUUAUAAUAAAUGCAAUAUGUGCAAUAAUACAUUGGAAUCCAUUUCAUUAUAUAAAAAACAUAUCGCCAGAACAAUUGGACUAGUGGAGAAAAAUAUUAUAUUUAAAAACAUAUUUACAGACUGAUGUGUGUCAGGUAUUGAAAACU